AAGUCGUAACAAGGUCUCCGUAGGUGAACCUGCGGAGGGAUCAUUACCGAGCGAGGGCCCCCGCCCGACCUCCUCACCCCAUGUGACCUCACUAUGUUGCCUCGGGGGCACCCGGCCUUCGGGCUGUUUGGCCCCCCGGUGGACCGACCUCAACUCUGCAUCUUUGCGUCGGAGUCUUAUGAUAAAUCAAUCAAAA
rnacentral:misc_RNA from 1 species